rnacentral:rRNA from 1 species
CCCUUAGAUGUCCGGGGCCGCACGCGCGCUACACUGAAGGAAUCAGCGUGGCUUUCUCCCUGACCCGAAAGGGUUGGGAAACCGGUUGAAUCUCCUUCGUGAUAGGGAUUGGGGCUUGAAAUUGUUCCCCAUGAACGAGGAAUUCCCAGUAAGCGCGAGUCAUAAGCUCGCGUUGAUUACGUCCCUGCCCUUUGUACACACCGCCCGUCGCUACUACCGAUUGAACGGUUUAGUGAGGGCCUCGGAUUGGUCUCGGCCCGCUCUUUACCGGGCGGCGCCGUUGGUCGAGAAGACGCUCGAACUUGAUCGUUUAGAGGAAGUAAAAGUCGUAACA